GGGGAUAUAGAUCAAUGGUAGGGUGCUUGCCUAGCAUGUAGGAGACCCUGGGUUCAAUCCCCAGGAUCUCCA
rnacentral:tRNA from 1 species